UAGAACAUUCUCUUCUUUUUCCUGGUUAAAAUUUUAAGAUAGCAUGCAGAACAAACGAUUCAACAAUUAGCAAAUUUUCUGUUUUUAAGAGUCCAAUAAGUGCAUUAGGUCUCGAUUAUUCUAGAUUUGCAUCAUGUAGGAUUCAUUAAAAGUGGAAGAGCUCAUCUUCAUAUCUAGAGCUCGAACCCGAAACAUCUGGUUAAGGAUGGAGGGAUCUUACACAAUAUAUUGUUGCUAAUUCUAUUUUCAACUUAUUUUUUCAUUACUUCAUACAAUAAAAAUCCUACUAUUAUAUUCUUCAUCAAGAAUAGGGUCUAUUUUCUGUUUCUAAUAUAAAAUAGAAGUGUUACAUUGAUAUGUAUACGUACUACAUCGAGAUUAGAGGCAAAUUUCAGGAUUUGAAUUUUAUGAGUUUCAUAAGAAUAGGAUGGCAGCAAGCACAAAACAAAAGGAAGCUGAGUAACAUUAAUCAACUGACACCAAUUCUACUCUUAAGAGUGAAAAACAUGUUAUGACUGCAUAUCCUUCUCUUGAAGAUGUAAUUAGUUAUCUGGUUCCAUUCCACAUGACUAAAAACCCCUUUCAACAAUAGAACAUUGGAGAGGUAAUGAAAAACAAAAAGAGCUUCAAAAAGAUCUAAAAAGAAACUGAAUAUCAGAAAUAUUUAAUAGAAGGCUGCAUAUGUACUUACGUGUGAAUGUGCAAUGUUGAGGCUGGCAAAAAAAGCUCAAUAACCUGCAUAUCAUCUUUGUUACUUCAUUCUCCUUAGUUCCCAAUGAUCAUUCCUCCCUACCGAGCAAAGUUGUACAAACUUGAUUCCAAAAAUAAGAGCAAAAGUCACAAAAAUAAGGACGACACUUCCUGCAAUUAAACGGUAUAAAGACAGUGAAAAGGAAAAUCUAACUUAUAUCUCAAGUGUGUCAAUUAAAUCUAAUUUGAGUAGACUAACCUUUUACGGCUUUUUUGCUGGUGUGGGUGGUUGAUCUUUCGGCCUUGUGCUUGAAGAGUCAGAUGCAAUAACUGCUUUCUCCAUGUCUACCUCACUUGUGCUUAGAGGCUUCAGUUUUUUGGCGUCCCUCUGAUUAACGCUAGGUGGAAAGAUUGGUUUCCUUUCUACGUAGGACAUAAUUGAUACAGUUGUCUGUGUGUCGUUCGAGCUUCUCCAGGAUGACUUUUUUAAUUGAAUUCGGAACAGUCUGUCCGACAACAUCUUAUGAACAUGGUCAAUGGGCAGGAGUUGAUUCUGCAAGCAGGAAGAGUGAUUUCUUAGAUUUAAUAAAAUGUCUAAUAAGCAUGAAGCUGAUGUGAACGCUUAUAUAGAUAGUGUUUUGCAUGCUAAAAUGAUUUU